UCCAUUGGCUCCAGAAAUCAAGGCUGGGUGAGACCUCGUGAAGAAACUAGAAGGCGACCCAUACUUGGUUUCAGGAGCUAUGAGGAUAUAUU
ensembl:miRNA